CCUCCAUUCAUCCUAUUUCCUAUCAUUAGGAAGACAUUUCCUUCCCAUGGUCAGAUUUUAAUCUUUUUACCAGAUGUGGGGUAACACAAUUGAAAAGAGGAUCUCUCAAUUCUCACACGUCUGUACGGACAUUCAGGACUGCACACGCUCUGGAAGAGCCUUUGCCAGCUGCAGGAUGGCCCGAGGAGCUGUGCUGCCCACAUCUACUGCAGAAGCACCUAAGCCAAUAGACUGACCGACCUCCGACAAGGCCAUUCUACCCUUUACACUGAUGUGAUGACUCCCCUGUCUCUAUAGGAACACACUAAGCCUGCCCCAACAGUGUACUACUGUCACUAUGGGGACACUAAGGACAGGAGGACGAUGGCAGUAAGAUGCUGGAUGCAAUAAUGUUUGUGUCACCUUGUAAUGCUGAAAAUAGAAGCUUAGGCCUCAAAGGAGGUGGACUUCAAGUGUGAGAGCUGAGUGUUACUCCUGGAUCUGAGUCAACACCAGCACCCAGGAAUCAAGGAGCUUUGGAUGGUGGAUGCUUCUGUCCCCACUGGGAGAGUGGUUAGUCCCUGAGGUACAUUUAAGGAACACUCAAUUGGUAUAGGUUCAUCGGGAACAAAAAGAGUCAUGCCUCCUGGAACAUAAGGGCCCAAAGAAGAAAAAUAGCAAACAUGUACUUCUUCAUUUGGGAAGGGGGGAGCCCCAGAUGAUGCGUAUAUUCUGACCACUUGUAGGUCUCACAGAUUCUGACAGAUCAUCUAAGGCUUGAAUUACUGGGAAACAUACUUCUGUAUGUACCAAAGUCCUGCCGGAAAGCAGCCGACACACCCAAAUGGCCAGAACCCAAAAGUAAUGGUGAAGAAGGCGACAGGUGUUCUGGUGACCUGUAACACCACCAGGAGCCCUGAGACCCACCUCCUAUAAUCUAAUGUAGACCCUCAUCAGUGCAGGUCACUGCACUAGGGCAGCUGUCACUGCUCCAGAAAUACUGCUUACAGUAAAGGGAGGGAGGCCUCCUCUUCCCUGCUUGAGCACUUAAGUCCCUGCAGAUUUCUUAUCCUGCCCUGAACGUUCUGUUAAUCCAGUGUUCCAGUAUUCUCCAACUGUGGGGCAAGAGAAGACCACAGACAUUUGCAACUCUAUUGAACUGAGCCUCCAGUGCUCAAAGGCAAGUAGUGGACACAGAUUUCUCAGUCAUACCCAAGAAAACGGUCCAGGUUUGAGCCCCGGGGCAGGUGAGAGUGGGAGGAGGUGCAGGAUUGUGGACAGAGUUUAGAGUGUAGGGAAGGAAGUGUGUCCUCGAUAGGGCCAGAAGACACACGAGGAGCGCCAGAGCAGACACAGAAGUUACGGUGUCCUGAUGUGACGCCCAAGGCCCGGGGGGAGGGGGGUGACUACUGAGAAUCCUGAGCCCUGUAAGAGUGACCCAGGACAUGAGCAGUGUGGGUGAACAUCACUUCACUUCAGGCUUCAGUGUUGUCACCAUCUCCUGCAGAAGCACAUGCCCUCAUAGACUACCCUCUGACAAGGCUACUGUGACCUUCAAGCUCAUGUGAUGAUUGCCCUGUCUCCAUAUAGGAGGCCUGGCCUUACAAGGUGCUACUGUCACUAAGGUGACAGUAAGGACAAGAGUACUGCGACACUGGGAGGCUGCAUGCAAAAAUGAUGGGAGGCCCAGCUGUACCUGGAAGCUACAUGAUGUAACCCCUGAUCUGCUCUACAGAUCUUCAUUUUGUGCGGCUGUCUUCCUAGUGACAGCCACAUCACCUAUGACAACAAGUUCUCCCUGACUCUCCUUUAGCCUUGCUUCUCAGUCUUGAGAUGACGAGCCUAGGGGAGGGCCUCUACAGAUAAGUCAGUGAGUACCUGCGGACCACUGCCUUUGCAUCUCCUUAGGAUUGUGUUCUAACUGUGUGAUGUCUGAGAGAGAUGGACUCCCAGUUCUUGCCAUGCAGGCUCCAGUCCUCCAGUAGCAUCAUGGAAGUCAUUGUUCCCUUCACAGGCCUGACUUCAUUCUUACCCAAGAGGAGUUAGAAUGAAGAUUGGCUCUGAGAUGUGACCCCAGCUUCUAGACUGUCUUUGUGCAGUGGAGUGAUCUGGGCUUUGCUCAGUGGCCAUUCAAUAAGCAUAGAUGUGCAAGGCCGUCUCUAGGAGCUGGAUCCCAGGAUCAUUGGUGUGAUGGACAAGCUCUGCAGAAGGAGCCGGCACUCUGGGAGAGUCCAGGACAUUCAGGAAGACAAAGGGGGUGAGGCAAGUCCACAUCAAAACAGGUAAAAGCAGUAAUGAAGCUGGGAGCUUCCCUCCUAGUACAGGUUGUUGGGAAACACACUCCCUGAGAAGUCAGCUCUGCUGGGCUCAGCCAGGGCUGAAAGAAGACAUGAGACAGAGGGCCAUGAGAGCAGCCCUGUCACAGGCAGCCAUCAUGAAUGACUGAACCUGGGAAGGGCAUGUGAUAGUGUGAGUUUUAUGGACACCCUAAAGGAAAUUUAUAGUAAUUCAUCUCUUGGAGAAAUGGUGUUCUCCACUCAAAUCUCAGGCCCUGGGAGUGUUGGGUGUUGCAACAUACCAAAGGCCUGGAGGGUCCACUCCUCUUAUGAUGGUGAUGGGAAUGUCAGAAGAUGAGGAGGCCAUCUUGAUAGGAGGACAAUGUUAGAAUCCCAGAAACCAGAGGCCAUGUUCCUGCAUGGAGCUCCAGCAUUCUUCACAUAGGCAUGAUGAAGGUAAUGAGUGCAGAUACAAACUGUCACCAUGGGAUUCCUGGUUGUCCCUCAGCACUUUAGCCUGCUUUCUCUCCCACGCACCACUUAGUUUACUUGAGCACACCUUGUCACUGCCCAGGAUUUUUUCAUAACUUUGAAAAUAAGGCAGAGUGGUACAGGUAGGAGAUCCCUGAGUCCUCUGUGCUCUGUCCUUCUGUCACUGUGGUCUCUUCAGAUGCCCCCGACUAUGAUUCUGAAGUUAAUAAAGCACUUGAGGGUCAUGGGGCUUUCCUGACAGGAACCACACAAGCUGGAGCCAAAUCCAGAAGCUGUGCACCAAGUCCUUCCAUGUUUGUGGCUGCUGUGGACAGUCUGAACUGCAAGUCUGGCCCUGCUCUGUCACUGAAGGCACAACCUCUUGAACUCUCUCACUUUGAACUGUAGUAGUAGCUAGUGCCGCUGCUGAUCCAACAAUCUAGUUCAAUACGAGACAACAUAAGCUUUCCAACAUCCAACCUGGAACAUUCUGUCUCAGAGACGACAGUGUGUACACUUGAAAGGACAGACCAGGUGAGGAAGACGGAGAGGUCCUAUGUGGCUUUCUCACAGUGUGCUUGAUCUCAGCCCACUUCCCAAAAUUCCUUCAGUCCCAGCCCAAAUUAGGAGUAGUUCUAAGAAGAAUAGAGCCCUGAAGUGCUGAGAGGAACUGAGAGAUCCCUGGCUGCCAUGUUCCAUGUAGAGACUCUUCAGGAUCUUCUGUGAGGGCUCAUCCCUCUUCAUUCUUUGGACGUCAUGUGCUAUGAAUGCUUACCCUCUGACACUGUUCACUUUGCAGACCUGCCUGACACUUUAGGAAAGUUCUCCCACUCUGCCUGACUUCUGGGUCACACCUUCCAUUUAUAUAAAGUGUGCUUAGCGGGGUCAAAGAGGAACAUGAUUAACACAGUGCAUUGAGUAGCUAGCCUUCUGUAAUGCCUAGAGAAAGCACACGAUGGGCCCCUGGAAACAGUCAGCUCUGUUUCUCUCAGUGGCCUAGACUUGACGAUCAAGCAUCCAUCAGCUUAUUAGAAAGACACGUUUCUGGACUUCCACCUUCAGUUCCUAGGUCUUUUCUGAAUGGCGUUUAUCAAGUCUUGGCAUGAAUCUCUAGGAACAUGGGAAUAUCCUGCAAAGUUCUAUCCCCUAUGCACGGUCUCUGCUUUCCUUUCCUUCUGGGAACUUAACCCCCAUGACUCUCUUUGUGAAGUGCUCAUCCUUUGGUCUGCUCACAUAUCUUCUUUUCAGAGUCUCAGCGCAGUGUCGGGAUGUCAGGAAGCUGUGGGCUGGGUCAUGGCGAAGGUACUGAAGACUCUGUCCUUCUCAUCCCAUGAUACUGCAUCCUCUCACUUCUCCCUUGCAGAUUGUUGUGUUUUCCCACAAGGAUGCUGCUCACUAAUUUGCCCUCUGUGGAAUGGUGGCCCCAGGGAAGCAAGGACAGGAUCACCACAGGCUUGUCUCUCAAUAGGAUUGGUACUUCCUGGAAGGUCACUGGUGGAGGGAUGUUCAGGAUCUCUGACCGCCCCCUUCCUCGAUGAAAGGCUAGUGACUGCUCAGCCUUUCAUGUUAUUUUCCUUCUGCUAGCCUGUGCUUCUCUGCGUAGGUCCAAUUCAGUGCUACCAGGUCACCCUUCGUAUGGCCCCACUUAAAGACAGAACAGUAAUUCACCAUGGACCUCAUCUUUUAGAGGCAGGCUCUUGACACAAACAGCUUGGCCCUGAUGAUGUCCCCAGCUUAGCAAUGGACUACAGCCAAGAAGCCUGGCCACAAUAAGGACGGAUCACAUCCUUAGGGAGGACAUCUAUGAAAAGCAUCUAUGCACAGGAGAAAAGUGCAAGGACCGAAGUCUCAUCAGGAGUUCCAGGACACAGAGAGCCUGACAGACUCAGGCCAGAGGUUACCUCCAGAGUCCUAGAAGAGGAAGAGGGUCCAACUCUACAGCAGCCUCUUGCUGGUGCUGUUGCAACCAGGACUAUGAUUGUGAGACUUGUGUCUCUGUGGAUACCAGGUUCAGGCGUCUUGUGCCCAUGCAUCUACGGACACCUCUCAUUCCUCAUUUGGUAUAACUUUGCAAGUCCUGAGAUUAAGGCUAUCAUGUACUGAUGGUGUCCCACUUGACACAUAGGCUACAGAUGACAUUAAAUCUGCAAUUCUCUACUUUGUGAUUAUUGAUCCUUUCCAAAUUGGUUUGACUGGGAACAAGGCUCAGAGUUCGAUAUUUCCAAGAUUCACCUUUAUGAAAUUCAGAAUCCUACAAUUGUACAAAUGUACAAAAAAAAAACAGUACAGUUACCACUCUGGAAUGAAUCCAAGGACAAGGUGUCUGACAUGGGAAGUUUACAGAUUUAAUUAUAGGUCCAGGACUUAACAACGCUAAGCCUAUGCAGAAUCAUUCAGGGAUUCCAACUUUAGCAAUUGGAAGGAGUCAUUAAAGAAAAUGAGCUACGUGGCUCACAUGGCCAUGUCAUCGUGUCCAUGGAACAUGAUGCUCCUACUGCCAUGCUCUCUGUCAACCUCAAAAUGAGAUCACCAUUUACAGAAGAACAGUGCAGGGCAGCAAAGCAGUACGUUGGCCUAGGGUGGUGCACUGGGUGGUUCCAGGAGAUGCAGCCCUCACUCCAUCCUAUACAUCUAGGAGGAAAGCAAGAGGAGAGUGGGAGGGAUUAUGUGAGGGUGAGAUUCAUGGUCCAAGUGUAGCCUAGGUGUCAGCUUAUCCCUUAGAAGAGCAUACGUGCCUCUGUAUGGAGGGUUCUGGCCAGGAAUGUCACCAGGGACAGAGGAGUCAAUGCUCACCCUCUGAAGGUACUGUACCUGCCACUACGACACAACAAAGAUAGGCUAGCUUGCCAAUACAGGGACCUUCACAUGGCUGGCAUAGGGUGAUUGUCUGGAAUCAUAAAGGAUUGAUUGCGUGUCCAUGGGGGCUGACAACCCCGCAGAAGUGCAGGACAUGUGUUGUGGUCAUGGGGCUGACAACAUGACCUAUGUGGCCAAAACCGGCUGGAGGGAUGAGACCCUGGCUCAACAGUGUUUGCUCAAUGAGUUCCCCCCCACACACACACACUGCAUCCCCAGGCCUCAGUCAAAGUGCUGGCAGACAUCCAGUAAGCAGGGCAUCUUCUUCCCAUUUACUUUGUUCCAGGUCCGUGACCAAAAAGGACCUACAUUUUUCAGGGCCAUGAUACACAACAUCAUUGAAAAUGCAGGUGCCAUCUAGACAACAUAGCUUUUCUAUUGGUGUUAUAAAGAUACUCUGACCAAAAGUAACUUUGGGAGGAAAUAUUUAUUUUGCUUACAUUCCAUGCCUCAGGCCAUCACUAAGGGUAUCUAGGGUUGCAAGUCCAAGCAAGACCCUGACCUAGAACCCACUGGGGACACUACUGGGGACACUACUUACAAGCUGGCUUUCUUUAGCUUGCUUUCUUAUGCAACCCAGCCCCCACCCCCUGCCUAACACGGAGGCUGCUAACCAUCUCCCUCAGCCUCCACAUGCAUUGUCGAUAAAGCAAAUCUAAACACGAUUAUAGGCCAGUGUAAUAGACACAUUCCUUCAAUGGAGGUCCCAUGCCGCUAGGUGACUCUACACUGAGUCAUGAAGUAAAAACUAAAGGGACCAACUCAAGAGGCUAAACACAAAAUCAACACACACCAUUCAGUAACAUUUUGUUUUGUUUUGGUUUUGGUUUUUGUUUUGUUUGCUUUUUUCCCUUUUAUUAUUAUUAAUCAUUCCAUUCGUUUACAUCUCAAAUGAGAUC
rnacentral:lncRNA from 1 species